GGUCCGGGCAGGGCCUGGGCACCUGGAGGACGGGACCCAGAGCGGGGCAGAGCUCCUGCCUGAGCCCAGGCUGCUGAACACCCCCUCAACCGGGAUUCCCUGGGCCAGGCACACGACUGUGCCGAUGGGGCGAGGCCUGUCUCCCGUGGGGCGAACUGCUGCCCACCAGCUCUGGUGCCCACCCUCCAGGCCUCCUGCACUUGCUCUCCGCUCUCUGCUGUGGGGUCCUCGCCCUUCCCCAGCCUCCUUGCUUUAACGACGUGGACCUGCCCAGUGACCCCCACUCUGGGACAGUGGGCUCGGGCCCCAGGGGAACUGGAGGAUGAACAGGCCGGCCCGGGCCGGGCGAGCUGCUGAGCUGCAUCCUGCGACUCCAGGCUGGCGUCUCACCGGGAUGCUGUGAGGACCGUGGCCGGUGUUGCUGGCUGAGCUCUGGCUGGAUGCAGGCGGUGGCAGCUGGUCUCAAUCUCCCGGCCUCUCAGAUGGAUGCCUGCGAUGCCCCUGGCCAGGCAGGGGUGUGAAGCGGCUCUGAGCCAGUCUGCCCUGUUCCCAUGCAGGUGUCCAGAGCCCCUUCGAGGGGCCCUUGCGAACCCCAGAGAGGCUUCCUCUGUGGGCAGGGACACCCAGGAAGCCGGCUGCAGGCGGAGGAGACACCAGGGGGGCCUGGCUGGGGCCGGUCCGCUCCUAGGCCCAGUCUCAGAGGCGGACAGACCUGGCCUGGUCCCGCCCGUCACCCGUGGACGGUGCGGUCCUCUCAGGGCCCGGCCCCUCAUCUUGGGAACAAGGGUCACCGAGCCGCCCCUUGUCCCGCUGGCGCGAGGCUGACAAGGCUUGGAAAGGGCCUGCCGCAUGGGGGGCACCGGGCAGAGGCUCUGCAGCGUCAGCGGGCCUCCACCCAGGGCUCUCUGGGUGGGAAUGGCAAGAGCCCAGGCCCCAGGACAAGGCAGGGCUGACGCCAUCUAUUUAUUUAAGAGCGCUCUGCAGCCUCGGCUGGGGCCAAGCACUGUUCCGAUGGCUUUACACCACUUCAGUUCUCUCUGCAUCUGCAGGAGAAGUUCCCGCGCGUUGGUCACCUCCGUCCUGCAGAGGACAGGCGUGUUUUCGUUCUUUCCUCUUGAUGCUCUCAAC
ensembl:lncRNA